GUCAGUAUGUCUACCUACAUCAGUGUGUAAGAGAUGUCCUCAGAGCAAGAAAGCUACGGAGUGAACAAGAAAACCCCUUGUUUCCAAUCUAUGAAAAUGUGAAUCCAGAGUAUCACAGAGAUCCAGUCUAUUCAAGGCAUUGAGAAUGUACCUGAAGAGCUCCUGGAUAAAAAUUAUUCACUGUGUGAUUUGUUUUUAAAAACUUGCUUCAUGCCCUACAGAGGUGCCAGCUAUUUCUGUUGAUACUAUGUAUAAUUUAUUAAUCUGGAGAAUGUUUAAAAUUUUAUAUAAUUUAAAGGUAACAGAUAUUAUUGUACAUAGUUGUAUUUUGUAGUUUCUUCUGUAAAUAUGUAUUUUUCAUAAUGUUUAAUAUUAAGCUUUAUAUAAUACUAUUUUUCCACACUAAAGUGUUCAUGACUUGUUCUACAUAAAACUAAUUCAACCUGUAUGACAGGACUACUGGUAAAAUGCAUAUGGAGGUGGUGGCAGAGACAAUCCUUCAGGCCAUGUUUUCUACCUGUUUUGAUAUUCACUGGACAGGAAAAAGGGCAGGGCUAGAGAGAGCAAAUACUAUGGCUAGAUUUGCUGCAUUGCUGUCCCAUGAAUCUCGAGAGCCAACAGACAUGUCCUAACUUGCUAUUAGGACAAAUGUGACAGUCAAAAAAAGGAUUAGAGGGAGGGAGAAAAAAGAAUUAAGCAGUACCAAAGCUGAACUAGAUGCUUGUGUCUGAACUAGUUGCUCUCUCUCUCCUUUCUCCUUCCAGGGAUUCAAGCCAAAGUGGUCAGCUCAGGGAUCAUGUAACUUGCAGUGCAAGCCCAGGAUGGUAGGAUGCAGGGUUGAGGGUUCUGAUAGAGAAUGAUUCCAAACAGAAGUGAUGAAUUCCUUUUGUUAAUAAGAUGCCAGCUAUACCCAGACUGGAAACAUAACAUGCAAAGCACUAUCUACAGUGAUUAGAGAUCCUUUCAUUGCAUUCAUGGUGUGGAGUGUGAACAUCCACACCCAUACUGUAAUGUAUUUAUACACACUAGUUUCUGUCUCAUUUUCAGUGGUCUCCAUUCCUAGAAAAGUCACAAUUAUCCAUUCCUACUUGAUUUCCCAUUAAAAGAAUAUUAUGGUAGCAGAUUGUGCCCCUCAUUAAAAGGCUUAAUGCCAACAUUUUCAUAGAAAUGACUACAAACAUCAUAUAUAGU
rnacentral:lncRNA from 1 species